CCCACAACCUCUCCCCAGUCAGAACUUCUCACCAUCCCAUCCUUCCCCUCUGCCCUCCCAUGAGACCUGUGGGACACCUAAACUCAAAGGCACACCCUGCCUCGGACCACCCUUCAGCUCCCUUCCCCUGCCAACACCCACCUCCAGCACACUCCCAGCCCCCUUUUCCUUCCAGAGAAGCUCGGACUGAGUGCCCGCCCUUUCCCUUGCCUCCAGAAAGCAUCGCCCUGCUCCUCAGCUCCCACAGCCCGGCCUCUGCCUCCGGUCCUGCCCCAGCGGCUUCCAACAACCUGACUUCCUCUGUCCUCCCACUCCCCUACCUUUGCCCUGUCCCGGCCCCAUCACGCCCUCCUCCCCUAACAGUUUAGCUCCUCCACCAACAUCUGUAUUAACUCCCUGCGUGUCUGACCACAGUCGUCUCCUCUGACAGAAUGGGAAUUCCUUGCAACGAGAAAAUGUUUCCUUUGUGUAUCCGACCCCAGCAGGGACUUAAACAACCUGUGGCCAAUCACUGGAGGGGAGAACUGAAGCAGGAGACAGUCGGAGAGGGCCACGGCCCCUGCUUCCUUCCCAACUCCCAAUGGACUAAAGAGUAACCUAUGGCGACAACUUCCUGAGGAACCCCUUGGCCUGAGCUCAGGCCCCUCCGGGGUCCCCAGCACUCUGCCAGGUCUCAGCCCUGUCCAAAAAAGAAAGGAGAGUCCGACCUAACCUGUUCUCCAGAAAGCGAUCUCGACUGCUUCUAAGGAACCUCCCGCCUCCUUCCCGAGGUGUUUGCUCAAAUUUUCCAUUUUGAAAUGUUUCCAGAAGCUCCAGGAGUUCCUGACCUUUCUACCCUCUGCUCCCCCCUGCCUGGUGUGGAAGUCCAGAGGUGGGCAGCGCUGGGCCCCAGGGGCAGAUACUCCUCUGGGAUAUGCCCUUCCCACACCCCCACCAGCCUGGCUGACACAGCUGCCCACUCUCUCAAACUCUGGGUCGGUGAGCCCGUGGGAGGGAGCGAUCACAGCUAGGGACCCUGAGAGCUGAGGGAGCCAAGUUAUCCAUAUCACAUGGGAGGGGGUGCUCCCGUUACGCUCAGGGGACUAGCCCUGUCAUGCACUCUGGUACUCAGCUCAAACAACUACCUGGCCAGUCCUUCGAGAGCUGAGAAAUAAGGCAAGAAAAGACCGACUCAGACCAAGGUCGACAACGCUUGGGGAUGACGCUCAAAUUCUGUCCCAAACCACUCCCUGGCCCGGAGAACUCUCAGCCUUCCUGAGAGCCAUCCACCUGUGGGCCCAGCAGCACCCAAGGCACAUGGCCAGGCCUUGCCGGGGAUAGACAAGCCUUGAGCUGCACUCCCAAAUUCCUGCCAAGAGGAAUAUCAGGAUCCUGGUUCCACACCAUGCCAGGAAUUCUCAAGGUGCCAAUAGCUGGAGGCACUGGUGGCUACUGUAGUGUUCUAGUCCCCAAAGGGGAAGGAUGGGGGACACAGAGGAGGAUGACAAGCCGGGUCAUGGACUGGAUAUAGGAGAGCAGUAUCCAAGCAAGGUCAGGUACAGGGAAGCAGGAGGGGAUAUGCUGCCAAGGACUCUGGGGCACCGGGGAAAGGAGCCUAGGAGGGGAUGAGCCCGGCUGUUCAGGGUUUUCUGAAGAGGAUCCAGGUGGAAAAGCCCAAAUAUGGGACCUGGGCAGGCCUCGGGGCAGCAACCUCCUCCCACCCUUGAGCCUCACAUAGAAAACCACGCUCUGAUUGACUAAAAAGAGGUGAGACAAUCCCAUAGCAAAACCUUGUGAGCCAUGUUACCUGCAGCUGCUGUAGGUCGUCCUCCUGAAUGUUUUGGGACAAAUUAUAAAUCUGUAAUGAAAGCAGUUUCAUAUUUACACCCUCCAGAGAGGAACAAUUAAGCUGAAGAACACCCCUUCCCCCCGCCCAAGUCUGAGCCACUGCAGGGCCGCGUCCUGGAGCCCAAGCCUGGCUCACGGCACAGAGGCCCAAGGAGCUUCUUCGAAGGAAAUCCUUCCUCAAUACCUCCCACCUAGGCAGGCGACCCUCUCCAGGAAGACGAGUCGUCCCAAAGACCGGAGGGACCUCAGGACACCCCCAACCAGAGCGUCCCAUUCAGCAACGUCCGGUGGCAGGCUCACCUGGAUGGAGCUGGUCAUGGUGCUGAGGGCAAAUAUGGUUGCACAGUCCUUCACCGUCGAAUGGCUGUCAAAAGCUCCUUGA